GGACGGGUGAGUAACACGUGAGCAACCUGCCCCUGACUCUGGGAUAAGCGCUGGAAACGGCGUCUAAUACUGGAUAUGAGCCAUGAAGGCAUCUUCUGUGGUUGGAAAGAUUUUUCGGUUGGGGAUGGGCUCGCGGCCUAUCAGCUUGUUGGUGAGGUAAUGGCUCACCAAGGCGUCGACGGGUAGCCGGCCUGAGAGGGUGACCGGCCACACUGGGACUGAGACACGGCCCAGACUCCUACGGGAGGCAGCA
rnacentral:rRNA from 1 species